AUAUAUCAUUAAAUCAAAUAAAAAACCUUCUUCUCCUCACUAUUCUUCUACUUUUUCUUCAGCUUCUACAUCGAAACACAACACCACGAGAGACUUUGAGCCUGGGGCUGAAAGGAGAGCAGCACAACGUCUGGCGGUGCUCCCAAGAAGUGAGUUUGCACGUCAGAGAUGGGUCCGGGAGGUGAGUAAAGUUUGGGAGGUGUUACUGGUGGUGGGUCAUGCUCAUGUCCAUCGCUCGUCAGUGCAGAUCGUGUCGCUGAGGAAGAGAACGAAGGGCACUGGGGACUGGGGAGUGCUCUUCUACUUCUAUUCGCUCGGCUUAUAGAGCAUUGUAUCUUUUAACUAGAUUUAUCGCUUCUUUGCGAAGAAUGUAGUUCGCUGGAUUGCUUCUGAAUUAUGGCAAGAAACAUAGGACCGGCUUGUUUUUGUUGUCAGUCUGUUGACUAUUCAUUUUGAAACUUGCCAAGACAGACUUGGGAGAGAUUUGAGGAGUAGAAGAUAAUACACUAGAUAUCUUAGUACACACUGCAGAUCACUGCAAACAUGGAGUCUUUGUUCCAUCUUAUAACAUGAGAGCUUGUUCUUCUUGUCAUAUACUUGCUGAAGCUUUUGCAACUCUUUUUACAUCUGAAGCCAAUUUCUUUACCUGUUCAAACAAAGAAGACUCUUUUUAGAAAUUCUUCAUGAAAGCAUGAAAUUGCUGUUGAUUUGUGUAUUGUUUGUUCCUUUCUUUUCGUUGUAGCCGGCCAAAACGAAUAUCCCACAUGAUAUAUUUUCAAGUCCUUGUAUAUAUCCUUCUUGUUUUUUUGAGAUAAACUCAUUUAUGCUAACGAUGCCAUCUUAAUUUU